UUAAGCGACUAAGCGUACACGGUGGAUGCCCUGGCAGUCAGAGGCGAUGAAGGACGUGCUAAUCUGCGAUAAGCGUCGGUAAGGUGAUAUGAACCGUUAUAACCGGCGAUUUCCGAAUGGGGAAACCCAGUGUGAUUCGUCACACUAUCAUUAACUGAAUCCAUAGGUUAAUGAGGCGAACCGGGGGAACUGAAACAUCUAAGUACCCCGAGGAAAAGAAAUCAACCGAGAUUCCCCCAGUAGCGGCGAGCGAACGGGGAGGAGCCCAGAGCCUGAAUCAGUGUGUGUGUUAGUGGAAGCGUCUGGAAAGGCGCGCGAUACAGGGUGACAGCCCCGUACACAAAAAUGCACAUGCUGUGAGCUCGAUGAGUAGGGCGGGACACGUGGUAUCCUGUCUGAAUAUGGGGGGACCAUCCUCCAAGGCUAAAUACUCCUGACUGACCGAUAGUGAACCAGUACCGUGAGGGAAAGGCGAAAAGAACCCCGGCGAGGGGAGUGAAAAAGAACCUGAAACCGUGUACGUACAAGCAGUGGGAGCCUCUUUAUGGGGUGACUGCGUACCUUUUGUAUAAUGGGUCAGCGACUUAUAUUCUGUAGCAAGGUUAACCGAAUAGGGGAGCCGAAGGGAAACCGAGUCUUAACUGGGCGUUAAGUUGCAGGGUAUAGACCCGAAACCCGGUGAUCUAGCCAUGGGCAGGUUGAAGGUUGGGUAACACUAACUGGAGGACCGAACCGACUAAUGUUGAAAAAUUAGCGGAUGACUUGUGGCUGGGGGGGAAAGGCCAAUCAAACCGGGAGAUAGCUGGUUCUCCCCGAAAGCUAUUUAGGUAGCGCCUCGUGAACUCAUCUCCGGGGGUAGAGCACUGUUUCGGCAAGGGGGUCAUCCCGACUUACCAACCCGAUGCAAACUGCGAAUACCGGAGAAUGUUAUCACGGGAGACACACGGCGGGUGCUAACGUCCGUCGUGAAGAGGGAAACAACCCAGACCGCCAGCUAAGGUCCCAAAGUCAUGGUUAAGUGGGAAACGAUGUGGGAAGGCCCAGACAGCCAGGAUGUUGGCUUAGAAGCAGCCAUCAUUUAAAGAAAGCGUAAUAGCUCACUGGUCGAGUCGGCCUGCGCGGAAGAUGUAACGGGGCUAAACCAUGCACCGAAGCUGCGGCAGCGACGCUUAUGCGUUGUUGGGUAGGGGAGCGUUCUGUAAGCCUGCGAAGGUGUACUGUGAGGUAUGCUGGAGGUAUCAGAAGUGCGAAUGCUGACAUAAGUAACGAUAAAGCGGGUGAAAAGCCCGCUCGCCGGAAGACCAAGGGUUCCUGUCCAACGUUAAUCGGGGCAGGGUGAGUCGACCCCUAAGGCGAGGCCGAAAGGCGUAGUCGAUGGGAAACAGGUUAAUAUUCCUGUACUUGGUGUUACUGCGAAGGGGGGACGGAGAAGGCUAUGUUGGCCGGGCGACGGUUGUCCCGGUUUAAGCGUGUAGGCUGGUUUUCCAGGCAAAUCCGGAAAAUCAAGGCUGAGGCGUGAUGACGAGGCACUACGGUGCUGAAGCAACAAAUGCCCUGCUUCCAGGAAAAGCCUCUAAGCAUCAGGUAACAUCAAAUCGUACCCCAAACCGACACAGGUGGUCAGGUAGAGAAUACCAAGGCGCUUGAGAGAACUCGGGUGAAGGAACUAGGCAAAAUGGUGCCGUAACUUCGGGAGAAGGCACGCUGAUAUGUAGGUGAAGUCCCUUGCGGAUGGAGCUGAAAUCAGUCGAAGAUACCAGCUGGCUGCAACUGUUUAUUAAAAACACAGCACUGUGCAAACACGAAAGUGGACGUAUACGGUGUGACGCCUGCCCGGUGCCGGAAGGUUAAUUGAUGGGGUUAGCGGUAACGCGAAGCUCUUGAUCGAAGCCCCGGUAAACGGCGGCCGUAACUAUAACGGUCCUAAGGUAGCGAAAUUCCUUGUCGGGUAAGUUCCGACCUGCACGAAUGGCGUAAUGAUGGCCAGGCUGUCUCCACCCGAGACUCAGUGAAAUUGAACUCGCUGUGAAGAUGCAGUGUACCCGCGGCAAGACGGAAAGACCCCGUGAACCUUUACUAUAGCUUGACACUGAACAUUGAGCCUUGAUGUGUAGGAUAGGUGGGAGGCUUUGAAGUGUGGACGCCAGUCUGCAUGGAGCCGACCUUGAAAUACCACCCUUUAAUGUUUGAUGUUCUAACGUUGGCCCCUAAUCGGGGUUGCGGACAGUGUCUGGUGGGUAGUUUGACUGGGGCGGUCUCCUCCUAAAGAGUAACGGAGGAGCACGAAGGUUGGCUAAUCCUGGUCGGACAUCAGGAGGUUAGUGCAAUGGCAUAAGCCAGCUUGACUGCGAGCGUGACGG
rnacentral:rRNA from 1 species